UACGUAGGGUGCAAGCGUUAAUCGGAAUUACUGGGCGUAAAGCGUGCGCAGGCGGUUAUGCAAGACAGAUGUGAAAUCCCCGGGCUCAACCUGGGAACUGCAUUUGAGACUGCAUAGCUAGAGUACGGUAGAGGGGGAUGGAAUUCCGCGUGUAGCAGUGAAAUGCGUAGAUAUGCGGAGGGACACCGAUGGCGAAGGCAAUCCCCUGGACCUGUACUGACGCUCAUGCACGAAAGCGUGGGGAGCAAACAGG
rnacentral:rRNA from 1 species